rnacentral:rRNA from 1 species
AUUCCUCAGUAACGGCGAGUGAAGCGGUAACAGCUCAAAUUUGAAAUCUGGCCGCAAGGUCCGAGUUGUAAUUUGUAGAGGAUGUUUCGAGCAUGGUCCGGCCUAAGUUCCUUGGAACAGGACGUCAUAGAGGGUGAGAAUCCCGUAUGCGGCCGGGUGCCUACGCUCAUGUGAAACUCCUUCGACGAGUCGAGUUGUUUGGGAAUGCAGCUCAAAAUGGGUGGUAAAUUCCAUCUAAAGCUAAAUAUUGGCCAGAGACCGAUAGCGCACAAGUAGAGUGAUCGAAAGAUGAAAAGCACUUUGGAAAGAGAGUUAAACAGUACGUGAAAUUGUUGAAAGGGAAGCGCUUGCAACCAGACUUGCGCGCGGCUGAUCAUCCGGGCUUCUGCCCGGUGCACUCGGUCGCGCUCAGGCCAGCAUCGGUUUUGGUGGCGGGAUAAAGGCCUUGGGAAUGUAGCUCCUCUCGGGGAGUGUUAUAGCCCAGGGUGCAAUGCCGCCUACCGGGACCGAGGACCGCGCUUCGGCUAGGAUGCUGGCGUAAUGGUUGUAAGCGACCCGUCUUGAAACACGGACCAAGGAGUCUAACAUCUAUGCGAGUGUUUGGGUGUCAAACCCAUACGCGUAAUGAAAGUGAACGGAGGUGAGAACCCUUAAGGGUGCAUCAUCGACCGAUCCUGAUGUCUUCGGAUGGAUUUGAGUAAGAGCAUAGCUGUUGGGACCCGAAAGAUGGUGAACUAUGCCUGAAUAGGGUGAAGCCAGAGGAAACUCUGGUGGAGGCUCGCAGCGGUUCGGACGUGCAAAUCGAUCGUCAAAUUUGGGUAUAGGGGCGAAAGACUAAUCGAACCAUCUAGUAGCUGGUUCCUGCCGAAGUUUCCCUCAGGAUAGCAGUGUUGAAUUCAGUUUUAUGAGGUAAAGCGAAUGAUUA